CAACAAGUCAUGGCAGCACGAUUUGACGUCAAGGAAUAGACUGGAAUUUGAAUUGAAAUCCCUGAUAACGUCUAAAAAAUGGCUUACAAGGAUCUUCAAUGAUGAUUUCCUAGAUCACACCUUUUGUCUUCAGCCCAAUAAUGAGAAACUAAAUUUAAAAGAGCAGCCUGUCAUUCAGUGGUGUCUGGGAAAACGAGACUUCUUGCUCCUCUAAGUAAAAAUAUGAUUAAAAAGGUUCUAUCGGCGAUCAAGGGGCAUCAUCAUUGUCCCAUCAAUUCAAAUGUGUAAAAGACAACAAACGAAAGGAAAGGAAGAGACUGGAGAAGCUAAUCCAGCAACCCAUGUCGUAAUAGGUGGUUUGAUACUUCAUUGUGGAAACGGGAUCCAGAAGGACCGUUAAUACCUCUUGGGAAUUGAAUACAUAGAAGAGAGUCCCUUCAAAGGUUAACUUCAGUUGCAUAAAAAAAAAUA